rnacentral:rRNA from 1 species
AUUGAACGCUGGCGGCAUGCUUUACACAUGCAAGUCGAACGGCAGCGCGGGCUUCGGCCUGGCGGCGAGCGGCGAACGGGUGAGUAAUACAUCGGAACGUGCCCAGUAGUGGGGGAUAGCUCGGCGAAAGCCGGAUUAAUACCGCAUACGGCCUGAGGGUGAAAGCGGGGGAUCUUCGGACCUCGCGCUAUUGGAGCGGCCGAUGGCAGAUUAGCUAGUUGGUGGGGUAAAGGCCUACCAAGGCGACGAUCUGUAGCUGGUCUGAGAGGACGACCAGCCACACUGGGACUGAGACACGGCCCAGACUCCUACGGGAGGCAGCAGUGGGGAAUUUUGGACAAUGGGCGAAAGCCUGAUCCAGCAAUGCCGCGUGUGUGAUGAAGGCCUUCGGGUUGUAAAGCACUUUUGGCGGGAACGAAAAGGACUGUGCCAAUACCACGGUUCGAUGACGGUACCCGCAGAAUAAGCACCGGCUAACUACGUG